UACGAAGGGUGCAAGCGUUAAUCGGAAUUACUGGGCGUAAAGCGUACGUAGGUGGCUUAUUAAGCAAGAUGUGAAAGCCCCGGGCUCAACCUGGGAAUUGCAUCCAAAACUGUCUGACUAGAGUACGGUAGAGGGUGGUGGAAUUUCCUGUGUAGCGGUGAAAUGCGUAGAUAUAGGAAGGAACAUCAGUGGCGAAGGCGACCACCUGGACUGAUACUGACGCUGAGGUGCGAAAGCGUGGGGAGCAAACAGG
rnacentral:rRNA from 1 species